CUUGCAAUCUGACCAUCUCAGCCUGACC
rnacentral:piRNA from 1 species